rnacentral:sRNA from 18 species
AAUUUAUUUUAGUAAUAACACACACAUAUCGUUCGGGUAAAUCGGGGUGCCAAACGGUCGGUUUACUUGGUAUGUGGAGGCUCAAC